rnacentral:rRNA from 1 species
GUCGACGGGUAGCCGGCCUGAGAGGGUGACCGGCCACACUGGGACUGAGACACGGCCCAGACUCCUACGGGAGGCAGCAGUGGGGAAUAUUGCACAAUGGGCGCAAGCCUGAUGCAGCAACGCCGCGUGCGGGAUGACGGCCUUCGGGUUGUAAACCGCUUUUAGUAGGGAAGAAGCCUUCGGGUGACGGUACCUGCAGAAAAAGGACCGGCUAACUACGUGCCAGCAGCCGCGGUAAUACGUAGGGUCCGAGCGUUGUCCGGAAUUAUUGGGCGUAAAGAGCUCGUACGCGGUUUGUCGCGUCUGCUGUGAAAACUAGAGGCUCAACCUCUAGCCUGCAGUGGGUACGGGCAGACUUGAGUGGUGUAGGGGAGACUGGAAUUCCUGGUGUAGCGGUGGAAUGCGCAGAUAUCAGGAGGAACACCGAUGGCGAAGGCAGGUCUCUGGGCACUUACUGACGCUGAGGAGCGAAAGCGUGGGGAGCGAACAGGAUUAGAUACCCUGGUAGUCCACGCCGUAAACGUUGGGCGCUAGAUGUGGGGACCUUUCCACGGUUUCCGUGUCGUAGCUAACGCAUUAAGCGCCCCGCCGGGGAAAGUACGGA